rnacentral:siRNA from 1 species
AUACAACAUCAAAUUCAGCAUGCU